UGGCUCCAAAAUAAUUGA
rnacentral:piRNA from 1 species